UCAAUCACAAUUCAUAUCUUAUAAGUUCAAUGGAUAAAACGAAGAUAACCUCAAUAAUUAUGAAUAUCAGGUUUUUAUAUCAAAACAUAAUUAAUAAAUAUACAUACAGUUACGAUUGAUUCUAUCAAAUCCCAACAAGAGAAGGAGAUUAGCUAGCCAUUCUCAUGGUAACUUUAUACAAAAUGAAGGAAUUGAGAUGAAUAAACAUCAACAACGAUGUCUUGACUCUUG
rnacentral:lncRNA from 1 species